AUGCGGAUUAUAAAAAAGUAUAUUAAAGAAAAGGACUACAUUUCCCAGAAUGCACCUGCACCCACUCAUCUGACUGCCCCCACCCUUCAGGUGCGACUGCUCAACCUAUGGGCUUGACGGAAAAUUCAAAUCGCAAACCGUUACUGCCUGGACUACUCCGUCUCUUAUUUGUUUGUUUGCUCAUUAACAGUAAGAGGUCAUGUACACUGUGGUCAACUUUGUGGACGAUGAAGAGGUUUCUGGGUAAAGAUGAUAGAAAUAUAAUGAAGUAACAGUGAAAGCUAAAACAUCAGACUGAUCCAGACACUUAGGAAAUUGAUGUCACUGCAAUCUGGCCAAAAUGAUACAACUAUAUUGAAGUAGCCUACUGUAAUGAAGCUGCAGAACAACACAGAGACUCUUGAGGACAUCAACACAGAAAAUGAAGGCUCCAAAGAGAUGUCUGUCCAGAUGAGGGUGCAUCAAUGUUACGUUUGCUGACAAGUAUAUGCUUUACAAUGGAAAACCUAACAGUUAACUUAACUCAAACCAUUUAAGGAAAUCGGUUGCCUUAACCCAUUAAGUUUUAAAAAACAUACAUUUGAGUACUGUGAACUUAAGUCUUGUGCAAUUAUGCACUUAUAUUUAGUUAGUGUGAACUUAAAUAUAAGUGCAUAACUGCAUGUGACUCAAUUUGUUUAAGUUCACAGUACUCAAAUCCAUGUGUUUUAAAACUUAAAUGAUUUAAUGCAACCGGUUUUCUUAAAUGGUUUGAGUUUAGUUAACUUUUAGGUUUUACAGUGAGAAAUUCUUGAAUAAUUCCAAGACAGAGCUCUGCAAUUGAAUCAACACUGCAAAAAAUCAGUUUCUAACUUAGGAUUUUUAUCUUGUUUUUAGUAGAAAAACUAAAAAUUCUUAAAUCAAGAUGUAUUUUCUUGAUGAGCAAAAUUACCUAAGAAAAUGUCUAGUUUUUAGACAAAAAUAUACAAUUUAAGUACAUUUGUG